UACGUAGGGGGCGAGCGUUAUCCGGAAUCAUUGGGCGUAAAGCGCGUGUAGGCGGUUCACCAAGUCCGCUCUGAAAGCCCAGGGCUCAACCCUGGGAGGCGGGUGGAUACUGGUGGACUUGAGUUCGGAAGAGGAGAUUGGAAUUCCUGGUGUAGCGGUGAAAUGCGCAGAUAUCAGGAGGAACACCAACAGCGAAGGCAGAUCUCUGGGACGUGACUGACGCUGAGACGCGAAAGCGUGGGGAGCAAACAGG
rnacentral:rRNA from 1 species